UUUUUUGCGUUUGUAGCACUUCUAUAAGUGCACCCCACGCCCCUUAGGGCCUCCCCUGUGCUGAGACCAGCAGGAGUUGAGAGCUUGGAGAGGAGCUAGUGGCUGCGGAGAUCUUCAACAUCACUUGGAUUGGAGCUAAGUUUGGAGCUUCUUGAGAGGGCAUUUGAGGCUUGAUUCCUUGAAUUAGAACCUUCCUCUAGAUUGGAUUGGAAGGGUUCUAACCUCCUUUUUGAGCUUGUGAAAAGAUUUUCCAU